rnacentral:rRNA from 1 species
GGUCAUGCUAGAAAGAGCAUAUGGUGGAUGCCUUGGCACUAAGAGCCGACGAAAGACGCGAUAAGCUGCGAAAAGCUUCGGGGAGGGGCAAAUACCCUUUGAUCCGGAGGUGUCUGAAUGGGGAAACCCGCAUGAGAAGCCCUCAUGCAUCCCUGCGCCAAUCCAUAACGCAGGGAGGGGAACCCGGCGAACUGAAACAUCUAAGUAGCCGGAGGAAGAGAAAACAACAAGUGAUUCCGUAAGUAGCGGCGAGCGAACACGGAAGAGCCCAAACCGGGGCGCGUGCGCCCCGGGGUUCGGACCGCAUAAUUGAUCCGCGAGAGGUAGCAGAACGGCUUUGGGAAAGCCGGCCAGAGAGGGUGAAAGCCCCGUAAGCGAAACCGGGAGCGGCAAGGCGGGAUCCAGAGUACCACGAGACACGAGAAACCUUGUGGGAAGACGCGGGGACCACCCCGCAAGGCUAAAUACUCCUUAGUGACCGAUAGCGCAUAGUACUGUGAAGGAACGGUGAAAAGAACCCCGGGAGGGGAGUGAAAGAGAACCUGAAACCAUAUGUUUACAAGCUGUGGAAGGGCCUUACGUGCCCAACCGCGUACUUUUUGUAGAACGGUCCGGCGAGUUACGCCGGCUGGCAAGGUUAAGGGCCUUAGGCCCGGAGCCGAAGGGAAACCGAGUCUGAAUAGGGCGAGCGAGUCAGCCGGAGUAGACCCGAAACCGGGUGAUCUAUCCAUGUCCAGGUUGAAGUUGCCGUAAAAGGCAAUGGAGGACCGAACCCACAUCCGUUGAAAAGGGUGGGGAUGAGGUGUGGAUAGGGGAGAAAUUCCAAUCGAACCCGGAGAUAGCUGGUUCUCCUCGAAAUAGCUUUAGGGCUAGCCUCAUACGAGUCUUGCGGAGGUAGAGCACUGAAUUUCCUAGGGGGCGUCAAAGCUUACCGAAGAAUAUCAAACUCCGAAUGCCGCGUAGAUGAUGUAUGGGAGUCAGACUGCACGAGAUAAGUUGGGCAGUCGAAAGGGAAAGAGCCCAGACCUGCGGCUAAGGCCCCAAAAUGUGUGUUAAGUGGAAAAGGAUGUGGGAUUUCGAAGACAACUAGGAUGUUGGCUCAGAAGCAGCCAUGCAUUCAAAGAGUGCGUAAUAGCUCACUAGUCGAGAGGUCCCGCGCCGAAAAUGUCCGGGGCUGAAACACACUGCCGAAGCCCAGGGAUGUACGAGGUACAUCGGUAGAGGAGCAUUGGAUGCGGGAGGAAGCGGCACCGGAAGGAGCCGUGGACCGCAUCGAAGAGAGAAUGCCGGAAUGAGUAGCGAGAGGAAGGUGGGAAUCCUUCCGGCCGAAUAUCCAAGGUUUCCAGAGUAAAGCUGAUCUGCUCUGGGUAAGUCGGGGCCUAAGGCGAGGGCGGGAGCCGUAGCCGAUGGACAACAGGUUGAGAUUCCUGUACCGCGAUAUGACAGAACUGUGGGGACACGCGUGGAAAGCAUAAGCCGGGAAUGGAAAGACCGGCGCAAGCGGGGUAGGGGCUGCAUAGGCAAAUCCGUGCAGCGCAACCCGAAGCCGCGACGCGAACCGAACUACGAGUAGGGAAGUAUGCGAGCCAUGCGUCAAGAAAAGCCGCUAUCGCUCAUAUCGCGCCCGUACCGCAAACCGACACAGGUAGAUGAGGAGAGAAUCCUAAGGCCGACGGGAGAAGCAUUGUCAAGGAACUCGGCAAAAUGACUCCGUAACUUCGGGAGAAGGAGUGCCAUAGAGAUAUGGCCGCAGAGAAUUGGCCCAAGCAACUGUUUAGCAAAAACACAGGUCUAUGCGAAGCCGCAAGGCGAGGUAUAUGGGCUGACGCCUGCCCGGUGCUGGAAGGUUAAGGGGAGAGGUUAGGAGCGAUCCGAAGCCUUGAACUUAAGCCCCAGUAAACGGCGGCCGUAACUAUAACGGUCCUAAGGUAGCGAAAUUCCUUGUCGGGUAAGUUCCGACCCGCACGAAAGGCGUAAUGAUUUGGGCACUGUCUCGACAAUGCACCCGGUGAAAUUGAAGUACCAGUGAAGAUGCUGGUUACCCGCGCCAGGACGGAAAGACCCCAUGGAGCUUUACUCCAGCUUGAUACUGGGAUCCGGUAUUGCAUGUACAGGAUAGGUGGGAGGCUAGGAAGCGAUGACGCCAGUCGUCGCGGAGCCGCUGUUGGGAUACCACCCUUGCAGUGCUGGGUUUCUAACCAGCAGCCGUGAACCGGCUGGGGGACAAUGUCAGGCGGGGAGUUUGACUGGGGCGGUCGCCUCCGAAAGGGUAUCGGAGGCGCUCAAAGGUCCUCUCAGAAUGGUCGGAAACCAUUCGCAGAGCGCAAAGGCAGAAGAGGGCUUGACUGCGACACCGACGGGUGGAGCAGGUACGAAAGUAGGACUUAGUGAUCCGGUGGUAUAAAGUGGGAUUGCCAUCGCUCAACGGAUAAAAGCUACCCUGGGGAUAACAGGCUUAUCACUCCCAAGAGUUCACAUCGACGGAGUGGUUUGGCACCUCGAUGUCGGCUCAUCGCAUCCUGGGGCUGAAGUAGGUCCCAAGGGUUGGGCUGUUCGCCCAUUAAAGCGGUACGCGAGCUGGGUUCAGAACGUCGUGAGACAGUUCGGUCCCUAUCCGGCGCGGGCGCAGGAUAUUUGAGAGGAGCUGUCCUUAGUACGAGAGGACCGGGAUGGACUGGCCGCUGGUGGAUCUGUUGCGCCUCCAGGCGCAUGGCAGAGUAGCCAAGCCGGGACGGGAUAAACGCUGAAGGCAUCUAAGCGUGAAGCCCCCCUCGAGAUGAGAUAUCCCUGGCGACAAGCCAGUAAGACCCCUUGAAGACGACGAGGUGGAUAGGAUAGAGGUGGAAGUGCAGCAAUGCAUGGAGCUGACUAUUACUAAUCGGUCGAGGGCAUGACCAG